rnacentral:lncRNA from 1 species
UUUCGAUUAGGUUAGGUUUGCUCAGGUUAUGUUUUAGUAAUUUUAAAGAAUAUUUUAAAGAUAAUAUAUCACUAAAAUGUUCAGUUAUUAACUUUUUUAUAUUAUUUUCGAUGACGCUAGGUUAGGUUUGGUCAGGUUAUAUUUUAGUCACUAAAAAAUAUUGAGAACUUGAGAAAUAUUUAAAAUUAGUAUUUCACAUUUUUCUAUAUUAUUAGGUACUUCAAAUAUAAAUUUUUUUACAUGUUCACUCCAUAAAAAGCUAUUGUAGAUGUGGCAACAGUGUGAAUGUAUAUAAAAUUGCAUAUCUUAAUCCGUGCGUUUAUAAUAAAUUUUGAUCUGAAUUUUAUAGUGAAGAU